rnacentral:rRNA from 1 species
UACAGAGGGUGCGAGCGUUAAUCGGAAUUACUGGGCGUAAAGCGCGCGUAGGCGGCUUGUCAAGUCGGGUGUGAAAACUCCAGGCUCAACCUGGAGACGCCACUCGAGACUGUCAUGGCUAGAGUCCGGUAGGGGAUCACGGAAUUCCUGGUGUAGCGGUGAAAUGCGCAGAUAUCAGGAGGAACACCGGUGGCGAAGGCGGGUCUCUGGGCCGAUAUUGACGCUGGAGGAGCGAAAGCGUGGGGAGCGAACAGG